rnacentral:rRNA from 1 species
AUUGAACGCUGGCGGCAGGCCUAACACAUGCAAGUCGAACGGUAACAGGAAGCAGCUUGCUGCUUUGCUGACGAGUGGCGGACGGGUGAGUAAUGUCUGGGAAACUGCCUGAUGGAGGGGGAUAACUACUGGAAACGGUAGCUAAUACCGCAUAACGUCGCAAGACCAAAGGGGGGGACCUUAGGGCCUCUUGCCAUCGGAUGUGCGCAGAUGGGAUUAGCUAGUAGGUGGGGUAACGGCUCACCUAGGCGACGAUCCCUAGCUGGUCUGAGAGGAUGACCAGCCACACUGGAACUGAGACACGGUCCAGACUCCUACUGGAGGCAGCAGUGGGGAAUAUUGCACAAUAGGCGCAAGCCUGAUGCAGCCAUGCCGCGUGUAUGAAGAAGGCCUUCGGGUUGUAAAGUACUUUCAGCGGGGAGGAAGGGAGUAAAGUUAAUACCUUGUCUCAUUGACGUUACCCGCAGAAGAAGCACCGGCUAACUCCGUG